ACAUUUUUGAAACGAACGCAUAAAUUCUGUAUCCAUUCCGUGCAAAACGGAUUCCGACGAUUGAAUCCGACCCGGAAGAAUGUGAAUCCGAUGCUUUAUCGGAUUUCUCAAUUUCCUUCACUCCGCACUCGUCUCCCCCCACCUCGCGGCCUUAUUCCGAUCCCGAUGGUUUCUUCCUCUGCUUCCCCUCUUCUCCUCUCCCUCCCCUCUCCAAACCGUGAGCCGAUCCAAAGGACUCCAUCCUCCCUAUCCGCCGCAGCCACGGUCGCGCAUACCGACCGCAAGCCCGGCCUUCCCUCCGAUGACAAUGGCCCGCAUCGCGACAACCCCGCUUCGGCUUCAUCUCCAAAGCCAUCAGGGAAGAUGCUGAUCGUGGCUGACGAACGGCGCUAUAUGAGGUACCUGGAAGGCAUCACGGCCCCGUUUCGUGGCAAGAACCAACUCCAUGCUGCAGUGGUGGAGCUGUGCUGUCACGAGGUGGCCGAGAUCAUCCACGGUGCACAAUCGUUAUGCUGGGGAUGAGGAGGGCAAGGGCAGGAUCUACAAUUUUAUCGCAAAGACGGUGAUUUGCCAAGGCAAAAGGUGGAACAUUUCAUGGACACGGGUGGAACUGGGUCGCGACAACAUGGAUAUACCCCAGUGUGAUUCUGAGGGGAGACGACUCCGUGAGUUUUACUCGGUGACGCUGAAGAAAGAUCUUCAGCAAGCGGACACCAGAACAAAGGAAUGCGUACCGGGGGGCUUGUCGAGGUCCGGCCUGAUGCAGACGCGUCCCUACAUGGAGGAGCAGUAAAGAUGUGAGAUCCUCAAGUUGCUUACCGAUGAUGAUUUAACUAAUCGCAUGCUAGUGUCGAGACAUGCAGUUUCUCUUGUAUCACAUCUUGUUCAAUUGGUAAGAAGGAUGAGCUUCUUAAUGGAGGUACCUAUUGGCUUCUAAAGGGAGCAGAGAAUACCAUAGAGCAAAUCAUUCUACAAAAGUAGUAGGUGACUUAUUUUAAUCCAACCGUGAUGUAUUUGAGCUUAAACCAUAAGUCCCAACAGCAGUUAAGCUAUUUGUAAACAGAGAUAUCUGCCCAAGUUUAUACUAUGGUUUUAUCUCCUGAUAUAGAUUUGAGCAUGGGAUUGUUGUCA